rnacentral:lncRNA from 1 species
GGGACUAAGCCCUGUAGGGCUUGCCAGAAGGGAAUUGGCGUUCAUUCGUGGUCUUUCAAAGUUUGCUACCCAAGCCUUUCGUUCUAGAUGCCUUUCCAGUCGUGUGAGAGCUUCUGUUUCUCCCCCAGGCCAUACUGCAGAAGGCAGACCAUCUGUGUCAAAACCUAGCUCUUCAAGCGACGGGACACCGUAUUUCUCAUCAUGGUCAUCAGAGACAGGAGUGGUACAUUUCUGCAUUACCUCUGGGGUUAUAGUCUCCACUGGCAUCUCCAGUGGUUCCAUCCUACUAAUUAGAGUCUGGAAUCGCUUGUAAGUAAGAGGUGGCUGUCCUCCAUUUAAUUCUAUUAUUUUGUCUAGGUCAUAUAAUGUGUGAGAAAUUCGAACGAUGACCUCCACUCCAGCUUCACUAGCCAGCUUCUUAAUUGCUGCAUCUCUCUCCUUCCCAAACGGUUCAGAAUCAUAUUCAAUAGAGAGUUUUGCAAUGCUCCAUUCCUUAAAAAGCCUGGGGAAAACAUCUGCUGG